rnacentral:rRNA from 1 species
CCUACGGGUGGCAGCAGUGGGGAAUAUUGCACAAUGGGCGCAAGCCUGAUGCAGCCAUGCCGCGUGUGUGAAGAAGGCCUUCGGGUUGUAAAGCACUUUCAGCGGGGAGGAAGGCGGUGAGGUUAAUAACCUCAUCGAUUGACGUUACCCGCAGAAGAAGCACCGGCUGACUCCGUGCCAGCAGCCGCGGUAAUACGGAGGGUGCAAGCGUUAAUCGGAAUUACUGGGCGUAAAGCGCACGCAGGCGGUCUGUCAAGUCGGAUGUGAAAUCCCCGGGCUCAACCUGGGAACUGCAUUCGAAACUGGCAGGCUAGAGUCUUGUAGAGGGGGGUAGAAUUCCAGGUGUAGCGGUGAAAUGCGUAGAGAUCUGGAGGAAUACCGGUGGCGAAGGCGGCCCCCUGGACAAAGACUGACGCUCAGGUGCGAAAGCGUGGGGAGCAAACAGGAUUAGAUACCCCGGUAGUC